rnacentral:rRNA from 1 species
AUUGAACGCUGGCGGCAGGCCUAACACAUGCAAGUCGAACGAGUGGCGGACGGGUGAGUAAUGUCUGGGAAACUGCCCGAUGGAGGGGGCUAAAUACUGGAAACGGUAGCUAAUACCGCAUACCAUCGGAUGUGCCCAGAUGGGCUUAGCUAGUAGGUGGGGGAACGGCUCACCUAGGCGACGAUCCCUAGCUGGUCUGAGAGGAUGACCAGCCACACUUGAACUUAUACACGGUCCAGACUCCUACGGGAGGCAGCAGUGGGGAAUAUUGCACAAUGGGCGCAAGCCUGAUGCAGCCAUGCCGCGUGUAUGAAGAAGGCCUUCGGGUUUUAAAGUACUUUCAGCGAGGAGGCGUUACUCGCAGAAGAAGCACCGGCUAACUCCGUGCCAGCAGCCGCGGUAAUUC